rnacentral:tRNA from 1 species
AGGGACUUAGGAUAGCACUCUAAUCCAUGAGCCUUCAAAGCUCCAGACGGGAGUGAGAACCUCCCAGGCCCUG